rnacentral:misc_RNA from 1 species
GGAGGGAUCAUUACCGAGUUUUCUACUCCCAAACCCCUGUGAACUUAUACCUUUACCGUUGCUUCGGCGGGUUAACGCCCCGGAAAGGCCCCCGAAAGGGAGCCGCCCCGGAACCAGGCGCCCGCCGGGGGACCCAAACUCUUGUAUUUUCUUACCUAGCAUGUCUGAGUGGAAUCAUAAACAAAUGAAUCAAAACUUUCAACAACGGAUCUCUUGGUUCUGGCAUCGAUGAAGAACGCAGCGAAAUGCGAUAAGUAAUGUGAAUUGCAGAAUUCAGUGAAUCAUCGAAUCUUUGAACGCACAUUGCGCCCGCCAGUAUUCUGGCGGGCAUGCCUGUUCGAGCGUCAUUUCAACCCUCAAGCCCCAGCGGCCUGGUGUUGGGGACCGGCGACCUCGCCGAGCCCGCCUCCGGGGCGCGUGCCCGGUGCGUCCGCCGCCCCCGAAAUGAAUUGGCGGCCUCGUCGCGGCCUCCUCUGCGUAGUAGCACAACCUCGCAAGCGGGAGCGCGACGCGGCCACUGCCGUAAAACGCCCAACUUUUUUAGAGUUGACCUCGGAUCAGGUAGGAAUACCCGCUGAACUUAAGCAUAUCAAUAAGCGGAGGAAAAGAAACCAACAGGGAUUGCCCCAGUAACGGCGAGUGAAGCGGCAACAGCUCAAAUUUGAAAUCUGGCCCCCAGGGUCCGAGUUGUAAUUUGCAGAGGAUGAUUUUGGCGAGGUGCCUUCCGAGUUCCCUGGAACGGGACGCCACAGAGGGUGAGAGCCCCGUCUGGUUGGACGCCGAGCCUAUGUAAAUCUCCUUCGACGAGUCGAGUAGUUUGGGAAUGCUGCUCUAAAUGGGAGGUAUAUGUCUUCUAAAGCUAAAUAUUGGCCAGAGACCGAUAGCGCACAAGUAGAGUGAUCGAAAGAUGAAAAGCACUUUGAAAAGAGGGUUAAAUAGUACGUGAAAUUGUUGAAAGGGAAGCGCUCAUGACCAGACUUGGGCCCGGUGAAUCAUCCAGCGUUCUCGCUGGUGCACUUUGCCGGGCACAGGCCAGCAUCAGUUUGCCCUGGGGGAUAAAGGCUUUGGGAAUGUGGCUCCUCCGGGAAGUGUUAUAGCCCAUUGCAUAAUAUCCUGGGGCGGACUGAGGUUCGCGCAUCUGCAAGGAUGCUGGCGUAAUGGUCAUCAGCGACCCGUCUUGAAACACGGACCAAGGAGUCGUCUUCGUAUGCGAGUGUUCGGGUGUAAAACCCCUACGCGUAAUGAAAGUGAACGCAGGUGAGAGCUUCGGCGCAUCAUCGACCGAUCCUGAUGUUCUCGGAUGGAUUUGAGUAAGAGCAUACGGGGCCGGACCCGAAAGAAGGUGAACUAUGCCUGUAUAGGGUGAAGCCAGAGGAAACUCUGGUGGAGGCUCGCAGCGGUUCUGACGUGCAAAUCGAUCGUCAAAUAUGGGCAUGGGGGCGAAAGACUAAUCGAACCUUCUAGUAGCUGGUUUCCGC